ACGGUCAAAAGCUCAUAUUUCCAUGCUUUACUGUGAGUCGAGUUGGAGUGGAGUCAGCGUCGAGUCUGAGUAAUGUGUGAAGACCUUUACUGAUUUAAUAU